rnacentral:rRNA from 1 species
GAUGAACGCUGGCGGCGUGCUUAACUCAUGCAAGUCGAACGAAGCACUUAUCUUUGAUUCUUCGGAUGAAGAGGUUUGUGACUGAGUGGCGGACGGGUGAGUAACGCGUGGGUAACCUGCCUCAUACAGGGGGAUAACAGUUAGAAAUGACUGCUAAUACCGCAUAAGACCACAGAGCCGCAUGGCUCAGUGGGAAAAACUCCGGUGGUAUGAGAUGGACCCGCGUCUGAUUAGGUAGUUGGUGGGGUAACGGCCUACCAAGCCAACGAUCAGUAGCCGACCUGAGAGGGUGACCGGCCACAUUGGGACUGAGACACGACCCAAACUCCUACGGGAGGCAGCAGUGGGGAAUAUUGCACAAUGGGGGAAACCCUGAUGCAGCGACGCCGCGUGAGCGAAGAAGUAUUUCGGUAUGUAAAGCUCUAUCAGCAGGGAAGAAAAUGACGGUACCUGACUAAGAAGCACCGGCUAAAUACGUGCCAGCAGCCGCGGUAAUACGUAUGGUGCAAGCGUUAUCCGGAUUUACUGGGUGUAAAGGGAGCGUAGACGGCUGUGUAAGUCUGAAGUGAAAGCCCGGGGCUCAACCCCGGGACUGCUUUGGAAACUAUGCAGCUAGAGUGUCGGAGAGGUAAGUGGAAUUCCCAGUGUAGCGGUGAAAUGCGUAGAUAUUGGGAGGAACACCAGUGGCGAAGGCGGCUUACUGGACGAUGACUGACGU